rnacentral:rRNA from 1 species
GGCUCAGGAUGAACGCUAGCUACAGGCUUAACACAUGCAAGUCGAGGGGCAUCACAGUGUAGCAAUACGACGGGUGGCGACCGGCGCACGGGUGCGUAACACGUAUCCAAUCUGCCCGUUACUCGGGGAUAGCCUUCUGAAAGGAAGAUUAAUACCCGAUGGCAUGUAUUUCCGGCAUCGGAGAUACAUUAAAGAUUUAUCGGUAACGGAUGAGGAUGCGUACGAUUAGCUGGUUGGCGGGGUAACGGCCCACCAAGGCUACGAUCGUUAGGGGUUCUGAGAGGAAGGUCCCCCACACUGGAACUGAGACACGGUCCAGACUCCUACGGGAGGCAGCAGUGAGGAAUAUUGGUCAAUGGACGCAAGUCUGAACCAGCCAUGCCGCGUGCAGGAAGACGGCUCUAUGAGUUGUAAACUGCUUUUGUAUGAGGGUAAACCUAGGUACGUGUACCUAGCUGAAAGUAUCAUACGAAUAAGGAUCGGCUAACUCCGUG